GUGUCAGCAGCCGCGGUAAUACAGAGGUCUCAAGCGUUGUUCGGAUUCAUUGGGCGUAAAGGGUGUGUAGGUGGCGCGCUAAGUCGGGUGUGAAAUUUCGGAGCUUAACUCCGAAACUGCAUUCGAUACUGGCGUGCUUGAGGACUGGAGAGGAGACUGGAAUUUACGGUGUAGCAGUGAAAUGCGUAGAUAUCGUAAGGAAGACCAGUGGCGAAGGCGGGUCUCUGGACAGUUCCUGACACUGAGACACGAAGGCCAGGGGAGCAAACGGGAUUAGAUACCCCGGUAGUCC
rnacentral:rRNA from 1 species